UGGGGAAUUUUGGACAAUGGGGGAAACCCUGAUCCAGCCAUCCCGCGUGUGCGAUGAAGGCCUUCGGGUUGUAAAGCACUUUUGGCAGGAAAGAAACGUCAUGGGUUAAUACCCCGUGAAACUGACGGUACCUGCAGAAUAAGCACCGGCUAACUACGUGCCAGCAGCCGCGGUAAUACGUAGGGUGCAAGCGUUAAUCGGAAUUACUGGGCGUAAAGCGUGCGCAGGCGGUUCGGAAAGAAAGAUGUGAAAUCCCAGAGCUCAACUUUGGAACUGCAUUUUUAACUACCGGGCUAGAGUGUGUCAGAGGGAGGGGGAAUUCCGCGUGUAGAAGUGAAAUGCGUAGAUAUGCGAAGGAACACCGAUGGCGAAGGCAGCCUCCUGGGAUAACACUGACGCUCAUGCACGAAAGCGUGGGGAGCAAACAGG
rnacentral:rRNA from 1 species